GAAUCAAGACAUGCGUAUUCUUCAAAAUAAGGGAUUUGUGAUAUUUUAUCUUAUUUAUGUUCUUUUUUAAUAUUAUUUCCCCCUAGUCAUUUAUCAAUUGCCUAAAUUGCCCCUUUAAAUUUUUACCUAAAUUCUACAUCCAAUGUUCAAAUUUCAAAUUCCUCUGCAAAUUACGAAAGGGCGAGUACAAAGUUAAAACAAAGGGCGAAAUUUAUUGUCUUCUUCAACUCCUGUCUUCAUCACUGGAUGCGAGAUCGAAAAUGGCGAUUAGAGCUUCAGACCCGACCCGAAGCCCAAAAUUAGGCUCCAAAACGCCGAGAAGAGGUACAUCCAGAUCGGAGGCGGAAAAUCCAUUCCAUUCCGCGGCGGCUACUCAUCGUCUUCCUCCGCCACUGCCGCCGGCGCUAGCUCCUCCUCCUCCGCCUCCUACCUCCUCGAUAGCUCAGUCGCCACCGCCUCCCUAUCCAGCCACACCUCUCUCUCCAGCCUCCGAUUUUCGAAUCAAAAUAUAAACUUGCCAAUAAAGGCGGACAGCAUGUAGUAGAUGUCAUACCUCCCACUAGAGAUAUUGCAAUUUCUCCCUCAGCAUCAAUUUGCAGAGGAAUUUGAAAUUGAAUGGAUCUUCAAAAUUAUGUAAUAGAAUUUAAGUAAAAAUUUGAAGGGAUAAUUUAGGCCAUUGAUAAA